rnacentral:rRNA from 1 species
UACGGAGGGUGCGAGCGUUGUCCGGAAUCACUGGGCGUAAAGGGCGCGUAGGUGGCGCGAGAAGUCAACGGUGAAAGCUCGGGGCUCAACCCCGAGUCGGCCGUCGAUACUCUUGGGCUCGAGCACUGUAGAGGCAGGUGGAAUUCCGGGUGUAGCGGUGGAAUGCGUAGAGAUCCGGAAGAACACCGGUGGCGAAGGCGGCCUGCUGGGCAGUAGCUGACACUGAGGCGCGACAGCGUGGGGAGCAAACAGG